rnacentral:rRNA from 1 species
UGAACGCUGGCGGCGUGCCUAAUACAUGCAAGUCGAGCGAACGGACGAGAAGCUUGCUUCUCUGAUGUUAGCGGCGGACGGGUGAGUAACACGUGGAUAACCUACCUAUAAGACUGGGAUAACUUCGGGAAACCGGAGCUAAUACCGGAUAAUAUUUUGAACCGCAUGGUUCAAAAGUGAAAGACGGUCUUGCUGUCACUUAUAGAUGGAUCCGCGCUGCAUUAGCUAGUUGGUAAGGUAACGGCUUACCAAGGCAACGAUGCAUAGCCGACCUGAGAGGGUGAUCGGCCACACUGGAACUGAGACACGGUCCAGACUCCUACGGGAGGCAGCAGUAGGGAAUCUUCCGCAAUGGGCGAAAGCCUGACGGAGCAACGCCGCGUGAGUGAUGAAGGUCUUCGGAUCGUAAAACUCUGUUAUUAGGGAAGAACAUAUGUGUAAGUAACUGCGCACAUCUUGACGGUACCUAAUCAGAAAGCCACGGCUAACUACGUG